GGAGCAGUGCACACUGAGAAACAUUGAACACAGACCCUGAGGAGCAACACAGAAGUGGAAGGGAUGAGCCAAUGAGCCAAGAUGGACUUUGAAAGACCAACUCAAGCUAACCGAAUCAGCUACGAUUGAGGUGCUGACAAGACAGGUCCCAUGUGAGGAAACAGAAACAGGACUACGGACACUGGCAGAGGGGGUCAGGUAUCCCUGGCUCUGAAGAAGAGGAGCCUGCCCUACUAUGUCACAUGGCAGAAGAA